GUAGUAAUGCCUCCGUCCCAAAAUUCUUGUCUUACAUUUGUUUAGAUACAAAUGUAUCUAACACUAAAAUGUAACUAGAUACAUCCGUAUUUAGACAAAUUUAAGACAAGAAUUUUGGGACAGAGGGAGUACAAA
rfam:Triticum aestivum genome assembly, contig: Triticum_aestivum_CS42_TGACv1_scaffold_132592_2BL